rnacentral:rRNA from 1 species
UACGUAGGGACCAAGCGUUGUUCGGAUUUACUGGGCGUAAAGGGCGCGUAGGCGGCGUGGUAAGUCACUUGUGAAAUCUCUGAGCUUAACUCAGAACGGUCAAGUGAUACUGCUGUGCUAGAGUGCGGAAGGGGCAAUCGGAAUUCUUGGUGUAGCGGUGAAAUGCGUAGAUAUCAAGAGGAACACCAAUGGCGAAGGCAGCUCGCUGGGACGGUACUGACGCUGAGACGCGAAAGCGUGGGGAGCAAACAGG